CUUUGUUUAACACCUACAACAAAGCUUGUUUACUUCUGCACACUACGCGUUGAUCGUAACUGACUGACGUAAGUUUACUGUCCUAGAUGUUUACCUAUUGGAACAAUCAUGAAUUACCUGUGUAUAGACUAGUUCUCAACACAUUCAAUAUUUUAGAUAUGUGAUUUUUGGAAGGGUAGACGUUUUACAUCAAGUAAUAUAAAACCAAAUGUUUCGCUGUCCACCUAUGAGAACGAACUAUGGCACACCGAUCGCGUAAGAAUUCAUCUCUUGGAGCUAAACAACACAUCCAGGUAUUACAGAUCUCUUGGAGCUACACAGCACUUCCGGGUAUUACAGAUCUCUUGGAGUUACACAACACUUCCGGGUAUCACAGACCUCUUGGAGGUAAACAACACAUCCGGAUAUUACAGAUAUCUUGGAGCUAAACAACACAUCCUGGCAUUACAUAUCUCUUGGAGCUAAACAACACAUCCGGAUAUUACAGAUCUCUUGGAACUAAACAACACAUCCAGGUAUUACAGAUUUCUUGGAGCUA